UACGAACAGUACAAGUGUUAUUCGAAAUUAUUGGGCGUAAAGGGUAUGUAGGUUGUCGUUUGAAUGAAGUGUGAAAUGCUAGGGAAAUACCCUUAGAAGUUAUUCUUCAAGAUUAUUCGACUCUGAGUUAAAGAGAGGUUGGAAGAAAUUCUAAUGUAACAAUCAAAUGUCUCUAGAUUAGAAUGAAUACCAAGGGCGAAGGCAUCUUUCUGGCUUUAACUGACGCUGAUAUACGGAAGCAAGGGGAGCAAACAGG
rnacentral:rRNA from 1 species